UACCAGCACCCCGAGUGGUCGGGACGAUUAUUGGGCCUAAAGCAUCCGUAGCCGGUCCUACAAGUCUUCCGUUAAAUCCACCUGCUUAACAGAUGGGCUGCGGAAGAUACUAUAGGGCUAGGAGGCGGGAGAGGCAAGCGGUACUCAGUGGGUAGGGGUAAAAUCCUCUGAUCCAUUGAAGACCACCAGUGGCGAAGGCGGCUUGCCAGAACGCGCUCGACGGUGAGAGAUGAAAGCUGGGGAGCAAACCAGG
rnacentral:rRNA from 1 species